rnacentral:piRNA from 1 species
UGAGAAAUUCUUUAGGGAGCACAAGU